rfam:Haemonchus contortus, ISE/inbred ISE, WGS project CAVP01000000 data, contig: Hcontortus_1556
GGCCCAAAUUUGGGGUAAAGUAGAUUAGUAGGAUCGGCUAACCCUACUAAACUACUCUACUUCAAGUUUGUGCCU